rnacentral:rRNA from 1 species
UACGGAGGGUGCAAGCGUUAAUCGGAAUUACUGGGCGUAAAGCGCGCGUAGGCGGCUUUGUAAGUUAGAGGUGAAAGCCCGGAGCUCAACUCCGGAACUGCCUUUAAGACUGCAUCGCUAGAAUUGUGGAGAGGUGAGUGGAAUUCCGAGUGUAGAGGUGAAAUUCGUAGAUAUUCGGAAGAACACCAGUGGCGAAGGCGACGCACUGGACACAUAUUGACGCUGAGGUGCGAAAGCGUGGGGAGCGAUCCGG